rnacentral:lncRNA from 1 species
GGAAGAAGGAAAGGUAGAGGAAAUACCGAUGAUAAUAUUAACAGGCAAGGCGGAGGCUCCGAGAAAAAUGGAGAUGAGGACAUCAAACAAGAGUCCAGCGAUGAGAAUCAGCAGCGCCGCCCAAAGAGGAUGGAAUCGAGCCUAAGCCCCCCCCCAUACAACGUUUACCCCAUCACUACACUCGAUCUCAAGAACAAAUGACUUACCGAAAAAGAAGCCAAUCGGCAUUGCAGCAUAACCGAUCGUAGAUGUGUUGAAGGCAUCCACGAAGAGGUAGGUCAUAAAUGCAAGCAACGAUAUCCACAUAACUGGAAUGAAAGGAUGCUUCUUCAUUAUCACGAGCAGCACGGGCCCAUUCACUAUGAGGCUGCUCUGAAACCCUACCCUGCGUAUCCCCCCAUUCGACGUCUGCGAUUGCCCUGCUGCAUUCGUUCCUCCGAGCCGCCAUACCCAGAAAUGCGGCUGCAGCGGAGACAGCUAAUUUUCAGCAAUGCAUUUCCUUGACGAAUCAUACGCAACCAUAACAAAACAAAACAAAGAACGAAUAACAAAUCCAAAAAAUCAAAACUAUAAUGAUACUCAUUCUGAACGUAAUCCAUUUCACUUUCACUUAACAUGAGGUUGGCAUACCACGGGGGCUGUCGCUGGAGCUGGAAUGUUCGAAGCUACAUGCCUGAAGGAAGACGAAACAAGAUCACAAUUGACAUGGAUGAUUAGAAUUCGUCCGUAACUCACACAAGUGAGCAAUUCUGAUCACCCUAAAUGCGCUUUAAAAUCUGAGAGAAUGAGAGCUGCAUGUGCCACCUAUCUUGCGCACCGGCCCGUACGAAACUCAUUGUCGAAACCUAGAGGAAGAGAACGGCGAUACAAAGCAAAUCUUUAAAGAGCGUGGGAAGAUGUGCAGACUUACUGACAAACUUCGCAUUUGUUCGUUCCUUUGUUCUUAAACCACACCUCAAUGCACGACUUGUGCGAUUUGGCCAUCUCCCCUCGACAUGAGCACCCCAAAUCGAUGAGAGGCUCCUCCGUAUGCUGUUGACAAAUUCUGACGACAAGAAAAAGAAAUUGAUGAGGAUGCCAAUCGACUAUAUGUUAAUUUCGAAACUGAUGUUUCGAUCCGCAUCGAGUCUCUCAAAACUCGGGGAAAAAGGACGAGAAUUGCUACCUGCAAUAUUCAGCCGCGCUGUCCGUGCUCCAGGAGCUAAUAGUUCGCCCUGGCCCGAAAGUGAGGACCCCUUUGAGCAAAUUCUCUAACUCCACCGCGCUGCCGUGUUGCACAUCUGAAACGUCUACGGUGGAGUGGUAAUUUGGCUGAGAAUUGCUGUCCACGGCAACAACGGCAUCACUGCUCGUCCUUGAAAUUCUCGGGAGCUCAGUUUGGCUUUGAUCGUUACCAAGCUGAGUAGAAACCGGAAGGAAUGUGAAUUGGGGCUGAAUCGCCGAAGCAUUCUCCCCGCUUUGACCCACAGUUUGCAUUGUGGCAUCGUGAGAAUCGUUCACGUCAUUAGCGCUUCCACUGAGAUCAACACAGUGAAAAUCUGAUGGUUUCUCGCCAGGUUCAUACUGCUCCUGUGGAGUGGCAGGGGAAUUUUCCCCCUGCUCGUAGCCUUCCUUCCAAGACCUGUCUUCAGGAACUUGACCUAUUACAAAAGCUCUCCCUCGCUCCUCCCUCUCAUGUUGUGACGACCCGAUUAGGACACUGACGCUCAAGGAGGUUUGUCCGUCUUCCGACCGGCGAACAGGCUGUUGAAGAGGGCUAGCCAUUGCGACACGCUGCUUUGAGGCAAAUAGAGAGGAAUCAACUGAGCGUGCUGGCCGCAGCGACAAGUUCUCGGUUGACUCCUCGUCGCUGCUUAGCGCCUUAGGUCCCUUUAUGAGGGAAUUAAACCGCCGCAGCAUCUUGUCAAUUUAAGUUAGUAUGAAACUAUGCGGCCACAAUCUGCAAAGUGCAUGUGUUCAAUUCAGCCCAACAGUGUUGCUCACUAUAAGUAAGACUUGCAACGGUUGCACAAAAGCUCUUUUUGUCAACACAACCACCUACAAACCAGAAUCCUCAACGCCCUCGGAUGCAGCCACAUGUCUAUUUGGUCUCAAUUGAGUCACCGAAAAGAAUAAACGUGAAUAUCCGUUUCUAAGUCUCACCUGUCAAUGAAGCAAGGGUACUAAUUACUCGAAUUUAACAACCACUGGUGAACAAGACCAGCCAUGGUCCCGCAAAGGAAUAAUAAACAAUUGUUAAAAAAAUCGCAACUCCGACUUGAAUUCCGUAUUCCUCCCCACUCUCGUCCGCGAUAACGCCCACCAGACAAAAAGACCCCACAAUCGGUCGGACCCUGAAACCACCGGUCGGAUCUCACACAAAGACAACCCAAAAUUCCGAAGCCAGUCCCCGCAUCCUCCUCUCCGAAUCACACAACCAUCCACAUUCACCUCCGCUUCAGCUGUCACCCGACAGGUUACAAAUCACGCCGCGAUGACGCCAAAGCACCCAAUCUCUGCAUAGAAAUGAACAAAAACUGCGCAGCAACGUGCAACAUCAUCUCCUCCGUCCGAAAUCACCAAACACCAUGAGCCGCACCCCCAACAGUAACCGUGAAAUCCUCGACUCGCUGAACAAAAAACCGUGACGCAAAUUUUCAGCGAGUGGCCGAGAGUCGGUCUAAAAAAUAAAAAUAAAAAUAAAAUCCGAUCGACAAAGAUCGACAAAUCGACAACGAAAAAUACGUGGUGGAGAGGAUCCAGCGAUGGGGGCGCAGCUUGGGUUUGAGCAACGCCCAGUGGGACGAAGCGAGAGAAUGGGGAAUCGAAAUCCAAAAAGAAAAAUUGGUUCUCAAGGUGGAGCAGGAGGCGAGGCUGCGCGCAGCUCCAAAGUGACAGCCAGCACAAAGUGUGCGGCGCAACGUGGAAACGACGGGAGGCGUGACACUUUUAGCCCACGUUCAUGCACACGUGGCUUCCGCCUCCGUCUCUCGGACUGCGACCAACUCCCGCGCCUCCGCGGGCCAGGUCCGGCCCCGCCCGCUCGCGGUCAAAGGACGCGGUCGGGGGCCCGCGGGCACCAUAGCCACAUACUGCCCGUAACGUCUUGUGGAACCCAUCUCCGCUUCGCUGCGUGGCUCCCCCGUUAUUCGUUAUUCGUCAUUCUCUUUAGGUCCCUUUUUAAUUUACUUAAGCUUGUGUUGCUUUGCGAGGAUUGUGUGGAUGAUUCUGCGAGCACUAGAAUUGACAAGGCUGAUUUCUAUGAUUACGUUUCGGAUUUUUUUAUUUAGAAAUUGAGAAUUUUACUAGUUGAAUUUGUUCUUUCAAUGAAUACAUGUGCAAAUAUUAUUCACACACAUGAACAACCCAUGCAUUUGCGCACUAGUCUUUUCAUGAUACGAUGUCUUGAUUUCAAGCUGAAUUGCUGCUGUUUUGUUGUUUAAGUUGUUUUGGAACUGUUUUAGAAAUAUGGGCAACAAUAAUUUCUAGCUUUUUGAUGUGAUGUGAUGUGAUGUUUUGAUCAUUGACUUUCCAAUAAAGUUGUCUAAUGGGAAUGUUGACUCUAGAUAAAAUGAAACUCUUGUGUGUUUGUGCCAUGUGUAAGUGUGUAGAGAAGGAGAUAAAUGUAUAUGUAUACCUUAUUACUUAAAAUAAUUUCCUGAAAUUCAUAUUUGAAAGGAUAAAGUUUUUGUUAUAUAUAUAUAUAUAUAUAUAUAUAUUCAAAAGCAAUGCAUUCUAAAUGUUAAAACAUGGUUUCUAGUAAGUGACAUGAGCUUUUAUUAUUUGAUAAAAUAACCCAUAAAUAUUUUUGUUGUUUUCUUUUUGAAUAAUUUUGAAUAUUUUUGAUAAAAAAAAUAUGAUGAAGAUUAAUAAAGUUAUUUAGACAUAGCAAAAAUAUGUGUAUUGUAGCAUCUAUGUCUGCAUUAAAAAAGUAGUGACAAAAUUUUGUAAUAUUGAAGAUGAAAUUUGGUAUUAUUGCUGAUAUGAUUCUUAUUCAAACUUCUCAAAUUUUUGCUAUUUAAAACCAGUAAUAAAUGGAAUAUAUAUAUAUGAAAAAAUCAUUUCAAAGGUGACUUAAGAAAUAGUAAUUUUGGAAGAGAAUACUGAACCCUGUGGUAUCAAUUUGAUGUUUGAUUUUGAACAUAGAUUUAAAUAGAUCUAUAUAUAUAUAUAUAUAUAUAAUCUUUCAACAAAUGUAUGUAUAAAAUUUCAAAAAUAAAUAAAUAAAUAAAUGUAAACAAAUAACACAAAAUUUUCAUCAUGAUAAAGACUUGCACCUAAAAGUAAUUUGCAACUUAUAUGAAUGGCAUAUAAAUGACUAAUGUUCAAAAAGCAUUAUUUUAGGUUUGAUCAAAAGUCCAAAUAUAAGUAUACACCAGUGUCAUUCCCUAAACAAUUACAAUAUUCAUGUUUACAUUUAAUAUUUUUAUACAAAAGUGUAUUAAACCAAAAGCAAAAAAUCAAAAGAAGAUUAUUUAAACACUGCACACACAUGUUUCAUAAGACCUUGUUCCAUGUGCAAAAUUAGAAAUAAAAUGACAGAAAGAACAAAGAAACAAAAUACCACCACCAUGAACACAAACAAGCAUGAACAAAUGCAACAAUAUACAUAUAUAUAUAUAUAUAUAUAUAUUCCACUUUCUAUGUGCUGUAAGAGUCAUCUUGUGAGCGGUGGGGACAAAAGCUCUGGAGGGGGGAGGACAUUAUCAGUAGAUUAUGUGGAACCAAAGGUACCCAUCAAAGAGAACAUGGUUAUUUAUUUGUUGUUCUCUCUCCAUCACAAUAAUGUCCAGAAUGGGAACCAGUGUGCCAAUAUGGACUAUGCUCAAGUUUCAUGAAGAAGGCCAAUGCAAGUGGAUUGAUAUCCUUGCUUACAAGGGGUAGCGUAGGGCAGGGUACCAACCCCUGUCAGGGUAUCUCCCAAGCCAGCAGCACAGGAAGUAUGAUGCAAAGGGGCAACAUGACAAUUCCAUCACUCUUUUUGGGUUCUCAAAGACCCUGGCCAACCACUUGAGUCACCUUCAAUACAUGACAAGGGGGUACUUCCACUAAAAGGCAUGGAUGACUACUCAUCGCCAAACAGGCCCCAUUCCACCACAGAAAAUAUGGCACUCAACACUGACUGACUUGGACCCUCAGAAUCCCAUUCCAGCUCUAGAGGGAGAGCAAAGGCUUCCAGACCCAAAAUGCUUGACCUUAUUUUACACAGUCUCGGGAAUUCCAGCUGUGAUUGGUUUCUGUUUUUUUCAGUUUUACUUCUUUUGGCAAAUGUAAGAGGACUUUACUGUGCCCCAGAUUCUGUUCUCCUAUAGAUGUGAUAUAACUACCAUGGACUUCAAAGGAAACCUUUUUGUUGAGGUAUAUUAAUCUGUUUUAGAAAUAAAUUCAGCAACUAUUUGAACAAUGCUCAUGAUUGUGAUACUAUGUGUGCCUUGAUAUGCUUAGUUUCAAUUUUUCCACUUCCUUGGGUUUCAUGGUUUUGGGAUACAUGUUUGGUUUAGUGUAUUAAGGACAAUUUUUUCCAUAUGAGUAUGAAACAUUGUGUACACUGAGAAAAAUUCCAUAUUAAUAUAAGCCACAUGCUACUUGUGAGGCUGGGGUCUUGGAUACUGCACCCAUACUUUCCAAGGACAAUACUUGGAUAGAGCAAUUAAUAUAAUUAUGAACUUGUAGAUUUGCAAAUAGAUAUGUUGCAAUUGGACAUUCUGCAAAUUGAAUUUUGCCAUGUUGGCAAGCACUCUCAAUAUACAGACAAAAAUAUUGCUAUUUUAUGUAUUUUUUAUAGUUUUGUCAAAGUGAAUAUCAUAACCCACUAUUUCUAAAUGUGCUUAUCCAUAUCAUCUAAAACAUUAAUUUUAUUUCAAAUAAAUUAAAGUAAAGGUCCAUCUCAUUCAACUUGUUUAUGUUUUUGUGUCUCCUGAGUUAUUAUAUAUAUAUCCACACAAUUGCUCAGAAAGUCCUUAAAUUUAAAGGAAAACAUAAGAUGUCACAACUUUAAGCUUUUUGAUUGACUGAAAUGAAGGCGCCUUUGCUGGUCACAUUUAGACCUAGAGAAAUCAGCUCAAAUUUUCUUAGAAGGAAACAUAAAGUAGAUAUCUAUUUUUUCUACAGAACAUGAACAACAUUGUCCCUUAGAAUUUACAGUAAACACUCCUGCAGAAGUAGUUUUUACAAAAAUGUAACAAGCCAUAUCAAAUAUUGCUUAAAAUGACUAUUUAAAAUAAGAAACAAACUUUUUUUUAAUUUAUUGAUAUCACAAUGGGUAUAAUAAGAUAUAAAUUGACAUAUUUAGACUUGUAUUUAAAAACAACGUUGUCCAUUUCAUGACCUCUUUUUUAACUUUAUACUAUUCCCAAACACCAAUAUGUCCAAAAACGAUCUUCUUCACAAACAUGAAACCUUUCUAAUACUUUUUGUACUAUGACUUUUUCAAAAUGAACUUCUGGAUGUAAAGACCUCCUCAAUCCUCUCAAUGGUGAAAAAAACUUACAGCACAAUUCCUCUCAUUGGCUCUCGCAGUCAACGACUUGGCACUCGCCCAUUGGUCGACCCUAAAUUCGCUCUUAAAUAAGUCACCAAUGGCUGCCCGCCAAAUGGCCAUACCUUCAGAUCUAAGCGUGACUGGACCUGCCUCCGUGGCAACCCUGACCACAGACCAAGUUGGUGACGUGACAUGCCUAGUCACCUCGAGAGGCGCGCCAUAACCUAGCUGUCAAUACGUGGUAGGCUUACCCACCUUGAGAGUUCCGACUCAUCGAGAGCCCUGGAUUCCUUAGGCAUUAGUCCAUUGAAUGACGUGGCUUUCGUCGGUAGUUGUGCUGCGAAUGCUUCAUGCACAUUCGUUUGGGUGGAUGAAAUUAUGUCGUCAAGCUUGGUUUUGGGCCCAUUUACCCCCAGCCUACGAUUACUGGGGACAUCCAUUGAGCCCUGAUUAUUGGUAAUAUGGGAUUAGUCACCAAGACUUGGAUUUAGAGUGCAAGUAAGUCUAACUACUAAUCCGCUUCUAAAAAAACCCUUCUCACAAAGGGUUAUAUUGCCCUUUCCCAUCAUACAAUUGUUUUUGCAAGUUGUAGAACUUUUAUUUUGUUUUAUUUUACUUUUUGCUGAUUUGCACUGUUCACUGGAUCACGUAACAUUGACAUUAAAAAAAAAUAGAAUAUCUAAUUUGUGGGUUUGAAUGCUUUAUCGUCAUUCUUAGCCUCAAAUUUCAUAAAUUAUGCUACUUGUGUCAAUUAAUCAACAAUUAAUUAUUCAUUCAUUUUUUUUUUGCAAGUGAAGCUAUUUAAGCAACUUACAAGUACACAAUUCACAAGCUCUUUCUGCAUGUUUCUGCACAUGAUCAACGUUGUGUUGAGUGUUAAUUGUGUGUGCUUAGACUUUUUGUGAUUAUUAUUAUUCUUUGGCAUCACCUGUUAUUGAUUGGUGUUUGGUGGGAUCUAGUUAAACAAUUCAUGAGGUCUGUCAACCUUGACACAUCCUACUUUAAAUUACACACACACACACACACACAUACAUAUAUAUAUAUAUAUAUAUAUAUUCAUAUAUUGAUUCUAUUGCUUAAUCCAAUAAUUAAAAGUUUCAAUUUUUGAAAGCACAAAUAAAGUAGAAUUUGAAAGACAAAUUAAACCAGUCCUCCUUUCUUUCGAUCCUCCAACAAUGUGAAAGGUGUAUCGACAUUUUUCCCGUUACCGACACUUCCGACACAUGCUUGAGUGAACACUCGCUCUCGUCACGAACUACAGCAUCUGGCACACACCACCAUAAAGAAAAGAAAAAAGAAAAAAAAGAACUCUGCGAAUGGAGUAGCCUUGUUUGUCGCACUGGCAUUGCAGAGACGUGCUUCUUCUUGAACAGGGAUGAGAGUUUCCGUGCUGAGUCGCGGUGAUAGACUGCAGCUUGGUCGACAGCAACAAAGCACAAAGCGCCGCAAUGCUCUAAGUCCAUUCUAUCAGUUGCUGGAAAAACACGCCCCCACACAUUCACACACCCACAUGCACAUGCACAAUCAGUUGUCGAUGGAUCUCAAGUUUGAAGUGCAAUGAUCUACGGCAAGGGAGUGAGCGGUGGUGUCUUUUUACUGUGCCCCCACGUCACAGUUCCGUUACUGCGGGUCGUUUACGGAUCUUAUGGUUUGUGGAGUUAUCUUGCGGUUUGUGCGCUGGAAAUCUGUUGUGAUUUUGUGGUAUCUGUCCGUUUUUGUUCCUCGCAUGUUGCUCCGUCAUUCCCGUCCCGUUUGUCGCGACUGAGACUCAUCGUUCCAUCCCAACUCCGUUAGGUAGUUUACUCGAAAUGUGAUUCUCUAGCGUCGUUUGCAUGUUAGAAUCAGAGGAUCGAAGAGGCGCAGAAGCUGACGGGUAACGGGAAUAAUAAACUCUAAAUUGACUUCGUUUCCAUUGCCGAAGUAAUACUAUUCUUAACAUUUAUGUAGGAUGUUAUUUAAAACCAUCGUUGGACCGGAUCUAUCUCCGAAUCCCGGCUCGCAAUCCAUCUCUGAGCCUCAGAAUCAUUAGGACCUGUCAGCUCUGGAAACACACAUCACAUGCAAGAGCAUGUAUAUUCAAGUGCAGCUCACCGCCGUUUGUCCUUAGGUCAAACCACUGGAAACGAAGCGGUCAUAUCAUUCCACGAUCUCAGUGACGGGUCCAAACGUCAUGUUCGUAACAGACGAACUGUUCCUCCUCUUUCUCACAUUCACUGGCCAUCGCAUGAGAAAUCCCAGCUCCUGAAACCCAACAAGAACCUCAGUUCAGUGCAUUCAUAUCGAACUGGUAAGCAGCUAAAAGCAUCAAUCUCCAGUACAGCGAGAAACACUCUGCCGCACGCUGAUGUCAAGUUUGACACAGAUAACGCUCCUCAGAUGUGAACUACGCCGAUCGUCUUGCUUUUCCUGGUGCGGCAGAGCGCUCCGCAGGUCACGACCUCGGCAGGCGUUUCAGAGAUCAACAAGUUGCGGUUCCAGGGGCUGCGUGUGAGUGGUCCGAGAUCGGGAUCGGCGAUCAGUGGUGCUAGAAUCGGAAAAUCGAAGGCGAGUGGUGGAUGAGAAGGCAUCUCGCCGCAGGCAACCUCGGCAUCAUCUUCAAAACCAACGUGGCCUGCUUCUAAUCUUUACGUUUGCAGCGUGCAAACAGCGGCAAUGAAUGCGCACUUUGUUCAUCGACUUGAUUGUAACUUAUCGAAGCAGAAUAUGGACUGUUCAACAGGGUCCAUUGAGGCCUAGGCAAGUGAUCCAGAAUGUUCUAGUUUUUGAAUAUCAAUAAGCGGAGGGUUUGAUCAUGAAGGUGACGCCUUGGAAGGACCAGCGUUUUUGAAGAAUCCUCAUUCGAAAAUUCGAGUAAAAAGUCUGAGAUGUUUGGAAUGAUAUCUCUUGGACUUUCAGUUUUGAAUCGAUCGUUUCACUCGGUUUAAUACUUUUGCAGUGACGAAUAUGUCAUGUGAUGGGAUUUGAUCGGGUGUUGGGGAUGCUUUUAUGCAUUACCCAAUUUCAGGUCUGUUUCCGAAAACUGAAAUAACAAUUCUCUUUUGGGAGGAAAUAAACUAAGAAAGUCGAAACAUCCACGUAACUAUUUUAUCAAUUGUUAAAUUUUGUUCCAGAAAGAUAACAAAAUAAACCUAAAACCAGGUGAUUGAAAACAUCUGGAUUCUACUUUUUAUUAUGAUUUCAUUUCAUUUGUUAAAUCAUCAAAAACUAUUCUGUGUUAUUAAAACACACAUAAUGAAAUUGUCGAACCGAUUGCGGCUCCAAAUAAAUUCUAGAAUGACAAGCGUUGUGAAUAGAAACUGCACCUCAACGACCGGAGAAAGGUCAAUAGGCUGGACUGUAACCGCAGGAACAGAACCGGACAAUGUUGUUCCCAAUUUUCGAAAGAUGAUUCACAUCAGAAUACCUGGGUUUUCUAAAGCCUUUCAGUUCCCUUCGCGGUUGAGCCUUGUUUCUCGACUCAGGUGCAAGAUUCUCGUCGCCAUUACUUCCUCCGCCAGCUCUGUGUUGAGGUUUCUGUGUCAUUUGCUUAAACGCUGUAGGGUCCUGGUCUUCGAAGCCAGUAGGUCGAAGUAGGGGCUACAGCAGAUGUGUGUGAUUCGAUCUCUGAGUUGCAAAAUGUGCGCUCAUAUAUUUUGUGGGCACUUGCACCCAGUGUUGGAAUUUAGGGUUUUGGUGCAACAGGGCAGGAGAAUGGGAGAAUGAGAGAAAUGGAUGCUGUAGAAGUUUAUUGAAGUUGUUUGCGCGGAGGCAGCACCAUGGACUGCGCCGGAGGCCACUUGCGGGGUUCAUGUUCAGGUCCUGCUACUUUGCGCUGCGGCGCUUGUGGAGCUAUUCGCUAUUGUUCUCGGAAGCACCAGAAAGCUCACUGGGAUGAGCACGCCCUAGUGUGCAGCAGAAUGGCGCACCAGAUGCAGCUGGCGCCUGUUCUGUACGACUUCCCUUUCGCCUACACGCACCACACCACUCGGUUGAUUGAAACGCAGGAGACCUCCCUUUGUCUUCUGCUGGAGUCGUGGGAUGUUCACGGCGAAGGCCUGUGGGCAGCGUCUUGUGGCUGCUUUCAACUCGCCACAUCACAGAGAAGUCGCGGUAAGGAUGUUGAUUGGAGAUUACCCACCGAUUUCUGUCCCUGUAAAGCUCCAGAGGGUUCACCGGCACAGCACUUGCAGAGCUGGGAGGAAUACUACAAUUGGCGAGGAAUUUCGUUCGAGUCACCAGCAGCCCUAAUCUUGACCUGGCCUUUGUCUUUGUACCACGCCGUCUGCUUAGCUCAGUCGCAAACAAUCUGUUCCAGACCUCGAGAAACCUUGCUUAUUCACUAUUUGGGUCCAGAAAAGGAGUUGGAGCAGCUGCCCGCUUUUGUAGAGCUGCUAGCGCUGCUUCCCGCAGUCGAAAUUCACAUAGAUUUCGUUGGCCCCGCAGUAUCGAAGUCGGCAGAUAGGGAAACUCAUACAUUCUCUGCCUUUGCUCAUUGCUCCGACUUGGAGUGUGCAUGCAAGAAAAAGGGCAUGGAUUCGAAUCCGAAGGGUCUUGUUACAACGAGAUUGUGGAGGGGUUUUUACCACGAUCGACAUGCAGAGUUAGGCAGAAACCCUGAUCUCAUUUUUGCAGCCAACGCAGGUAUUGCUGCCUUCCCGAGCUGGCAUCCUACUCUUGAAUUGAUAGUGUCUCUCAAUGUGCCGGCUCUUUUCACAGAUUACUGUGAGGAGGCAGCAGUUUUAGCUACAGAGACGAUCCAUCAUGUCAUCCGGGGAAAACACCCUGAUCUUGAAUUUCCUGUGCAAGUUAAUCCGUUCAGGCAGCCAUUGAGUCCCACCAACAAGGAUUUGGACCUCCCCACAUUCUCAAAUGCCUUCGUGUUCGGAAUCCAUGGCCCUUCGAAUGCCCGCAUGAGCCAGGAAACCCUUCCAAACCCACCAUAAACUCGUUCUGUCUCCGAAAGGUUUAACCUUCGAGUUGUAUUACAUGUAGCGGAACUUGUGCAGGGCUUUGCCACAUGAUACAUCCUGCCUGAAACGAAUGGUGUGGGUGAACCGAACAAGCUCAAGCUCAUGCAACAGCCUGCACAAGCUUGCUCUGGUAUGAAAUCCCACUUCCAAUUAUUCUCUUCGUGUCAGGAGCUCCUCUGCCAUCGUAUUGAAUGUACUGAUGCUCACCUGCGAUGUAAAGCUUCUGACCAAGGCAUGUGAUUCUCUGCCUUGGGGCUGCUCUUUGCUUUGCUUCUUCCCCAUUUUGCUGAGCUCCGAUCAUGCUCGUACACUCCAAGUCGUUUUUGUUCGAGAUGAAUGAAUGAUCUGGGUAUCGUCCCGGGUUUGCUGAAAGCAAAGCACUGGAUUUAAUUAGCGUCUUCAACUGUGGGUAAUUACUGCCAAUGGAACCUUGUUUUUUUGUGAUUGCAUAUCAUCAGAUAUUGUACACUAAACCUGAAAAUCUGCCAUGUAAAUAAUUUGGAACUCGCGUAUAAACUGAGGUUGUAGUUAAUGCUGUCAUUUUUUAUCCGGACAUGCAUAUCUAUGCAAAUACCAUGCAUUUUUUUACAACUUCAGUCUCAAUGGGGGGAGUUGAAUGACGUGGGUACACAACCAUGCAUAAGAAUCAUGUCGAGGAAGGUUUUGAUCCGAUCCGAUUUAAAGCAGCAUGAUAAAAAUGAGGAAAAGCAUGUCGAUACCCCAGUUCGGAAAUCAUUAAAAUUGCAUUCCGUAAUUUGCAUAAAUCAUGAGUCAAUCCAAGGAUGAACCAACCAGUACAUUUUUGCCUGUGAAAAAAGGCUUCACACACCCUUCGAGAGAUCCAUUCCUCAGGGCUGGAAACUCCGAAGACAAACACGCUCU